CACUAAGUGUGCGGAUUCACUAUAUGCUCUUGUAUUACAAUUGGCACUGAGUGUGCGACAUUAUCGAGUUAAUCCCGGACAGCGAAUCGGGUCUCGUGGACUCGUAUUGUUGCGUGCUCGGAACCGUCGUUGAAGUCAUCACACCGGCUGAAAUAUUUUGGUAUUGUCUUCGUUGUUGAAGAACAUUUGGCAUGUAUAGGCUAUUAUAUUUUGUUGAACUGUGGGUUGUAAACUUUAAGCCAUGUGAAAAUGGCCUAUGUGGUCGUCGAGUGGGAUGCUAGAACCUAUAGCCACGAGUCUUAGAAACUUUAAUUUUGAUAAGGUGGCCAUAAUUUGUGUCAUGUUUGAUGGAUGAUUAAGGCCAAGGAAAGAUUCAUGAAA